GACGAACGCUGGCGGCGUGCUUAACACAUGCAAGUCGAACGGAAAGGCCCUGCUUUUGUGGGGUGCUCGAGUGGCGAACGGGUGAGUAACACGUGAGUAACCUGCCCUUGACUUUGGGAUAACUUCAGGAAACUGGGGCUAAUACCGGAUAGGAGCUCCUGCUGCAUGGUGGGGGUUGGAAAGUUUCGGCGGUUGGGGAUGGACUCGCGGCUUAUCAGCUUGUUGGUGGGGUAGUGGCCUACCAAGGCUUUGACGGGUAGCCGGCCUGGGAGGGUGACCGGGCACAUUGGGACUGAGAGACGGAGCAGACUGCAACGUGAGGCAGCAGUGGGGAAUAUUGCACAGUGGGCGGAAGCGUGAUGCAGCAACGCCGCGUGCGGGAUGACGGCCUUCUGGUUGUAAACCGCUUUCGCCUGUGACGAAGCGUGAGUGACGGUAAUGGGUAAAGAAGCACCGGCUAACUACGUG
rnacentral:rRNA from 1 species